GACGAACGCUGGCGGCGUGCCUAAUACAUGCAAGUCGAACGCUGAAGCGAGGAGCUUGCUCUUCUUGGAUGAGUUGCGAACGGGUGAGUAACGCGUAGGUAACCUGCCUUGUAGCGGGGGAUAACUAUUGGAAACGAUAGCUAAUACCGCAUAACAAUGGAUGAAACAUGUAAUUUAUUUGAAAGGGGGAAGGGUGAAAAGAUAAGUGGGAGGUGCGUUGUAUUAGUUAGUAGGUGAGGUAAUGGCUCAACUAGGCGACGAUACAUAGCCGACCUGAGAGGGUGAUCGGCCACACUGGGAAUGAGACACGGCCCAGACUCCUACGGGAGGCAGCAGGAGGUAAUCUUCCACAAUUAGCCCAACCCUUACCCAUCAACCCCCCAGGACUGAAUAAGGGUUUCGGAUCGUAAAGCUCUGUUGUAAGUCAAGAACAAUGGUUAACAUUUAAAUUUCCCACUGUAACUAUCACUUAACAGAAAGCGACGGCUAACUACCUG
rnacentral:rRNA from 1 species